CAUUGUUUGUUUACCUUUAAUUAGAAAAUUGUAAGUAAUUAGCUAAAAAAAUGUGUUGUCAGUUGCCAUCCAAAUUUAUCUGUACUCAGUUCUUCCUCUGAUAUUAAUUGUUGAAGAGUUGUUGAUAGAGGCAGAGGAUGCUCAACUCCUUGUUUCGAGGACAAGAUUCGUUGGUGCUUUUGGUGUUGAGCUUGGAUAUUGGCGCGCUAAUGCUUCCCACUUCAGACUUCAUAAUCCCGAAGAUUCGUUGGUGCUUUUGGUGUUGAGCUUGGAUAUUGGCGCGCUAAUGCUUCCCACUUCAGACUUCAUAAUCCCGAAGGUAAUUUGGUUGCUUGGUUGCUCGUUUGGGCCUUUCUGAUAUGUUGGGUUCUGCUGUGGGGUUGGGUUCUGCGGGGUUGGGUUCUGUGGGGUUGGGUUCUGCUGUGGGGUCUAUUAUAAAGUCUGGUGUAUUGCUAACAAUACCCCCCUCCUCAAAAACCACCUUGUCCUCAAGGUGGUAGGUGUCACGAAGCUGCUGCCAUGGCUCCCAUGAUGUGUCCUCAGGAGGUUGGCCUAACCACUGAGUGAGCACGUAACGGGUUGGGGGAGAAGUAGAAUGGUCAGUUUUGGUUGCGAGGAAGGAUAAGGGCUGAGGGACGGGCUUAUGGUUAAUAACUUGUAGGGGCCAGUUAUCGGUUGAAGGGGGAAGCGGUCCAUGGUGAGGACGGAGGAGGGAGCAAUGGAAGACAGGGUGGAUGCGGGCGGCUGCGGGAAGACGAAGGUGAUAGGCAACUUGUCCCACGCGAGCAAUGAUUUGAAAAGGCCCAAAAUAGCGCUUGGAAAGCUUGGGGUUCAUAGUGAUAUGUAUGGAACGUUGCCGGAAUGGGCGCAACCUAACGUAUACCCAUUGGCCAGGCUCGAAAGUAAUGUCCUGGCGUUUAGAAUCAGCGUGGACCUUCAUAGAAGCCUGUGCCUUGAGGAGACGGCGUUGAAGAGUGUCAUGUAGGUCCUGUCGAGAAGUCAACAAGGAGUCAACGGCCUCGUUGUUAGAGGUUCCGGCAAGGUACUGUGGGAGGGACGGCGGCGGUUUCCCGUAAAUUACUUCGAAGGGGGUGUAACCGGACCCGGAGUGUAAGGAGGUGUUGUAGGACCACUCGGCCAAGGGAAGGAAACGGAACCACUGAGAGGGUUGAGAGUGGACGAAGGCACGCAAGUACUGUUCCAAGAUGCGGUUCAUUACCUCGGUCUGUCCAUCGGACUGAGGAUGAUAGGCCGUACUCAUGCGCAGCCGUGUACCGCUUAGCCGGAAAAGUUCCCGCCAGAACGAGCUGAUGAAGACGGGGUCGCGGUCAGAAACGAUGCUCCGGGGAAAGCCGUGGAGCUUGCAGACCAUAUCGAGGAACAGAGAGGCAACCUUAAAGGCGGAGUAGUGGGUUGGGAGGGCUCCGAAAUGAACACCCUUGGAGUAACGGUCGACGACGACGAGCACAACCGUGAAGCCGUGAGAUGGUGGUAAAUGGGUAAUAAAAUCCAUUGAAACGUCUUCCCAAACCCCACUCGGAAUUGGCAGGGGUUGUAAGAGGCCGGCAGGACGACGAGUGCUAGGUUUGGUCUGCUGGCAGGUAUGACAUUCCCGAACGAAGCGCGUGACAUCCUUGCGGAUGGUGUCCCAGUGGAAGCUCGACUGAAGUCUAUGGAGGGUCUUGGCAACCCCUAAAUGACCUCCCAGGGGGGUAGCGUGAAAUUCGAGCAGAAGGUUGGGGAUGAAGGGGUUGGUGGGAUCCAACCAUAUACGGCCCUUGAAGAAGAGAAGCCCGUUAUGAAGGUGAAAAUCAGGAAAGGCAGUAGGUUGGGCCUUGACCUUAUCGAACUGGGCCAUGAACGUAGGGCUGUCAUGUAGAGUCCGGCGGAGAUCAUCAAUGAAGACAAAAUUGGGGACCGAGAGAAGGAGGAGCUGGCCGGAAUUAUCACAAUUGGUCCUCGAAAGAGCAUCUGCAACAAGGUUGGAGGGACCAGGUUUGUAUUGAAUUGAGUAAUCGAAGCCGAGAAGCUUGGACAAAUAGUAAUGUUGCUCAGGAGUUUGGAUCACCUGAGACAUGAGUUCUCUAAGACUCUUGUGAUCGGUUAAAAUGGUGAACGAAUGGCCAAGCAGGUAUUGCCGCCAUUUGCGGACUGCCGUGACAAUAGCAUGGAGCUCCCUGACAUACGUUGAGGCAUGUAAAAGGCGAGGUCCGAACUGCUUGCUGAAGAAGGCAAUGGGAUGGCCCGAUUGCAUCAGAACGGCGCCCAUGGCGGUGCCGGACGCGUCUGUUUCUACGACAAAGGGCACCGUAAAAUCGGGCAGGGCCAAGACAGGGGCCUGGGUCAUAACAGUUUUCAAGUGGUCAAAGGCGGCCUGAGAGGUUGGGGACCAAGCAAAGGCAUCUUUGCACAGGAGUGCAGUGAGAGGAGCCGCAAUCGCCGCAUAGUUCUUGAUGAAUUUGCGGUAGAACCCGGUGAGACCGAGAAAGGCCCGGAGGUCCUUAGCAGAUGUUGGGGAUGGCCAGUUCACGAUAGCCUGGAGCUUGGAUGGUUCAGGUUCGACUCCCUUAGCGGAGACGAGGUGCCCGAGGUACUCCAAUUGGCGCUGGGCAAUCAAGCAUUUGGUGCGCUUAAGGAAGAAUUGUUGUUGCAACAAUGCCUGAAAGACAAGCUCGAGGUGGUGGAGAUGAGAUGAUAAUGAGUCGCUGUAGACCAAAAUAUCAUCAAAGAAGACUGUGGCAAAACGGCGCAGGAAGGGGGCGAGCAGGGUGUUCAUCGCGGCCUGGAAGGUGGAAGGCGCGUUGCACAAGCCGAAGGGCAUUACGCGGUACUCGUAGUGCCCGUGAUGCGUUCGAAAUGCAGUCUUCUCAAUGUCUGGUUCGUGCAUGAGGAUUUGAUGAAAUCCCUGACGAAGGUCGAGCUUGGAAAACCAGGAAGCAUGGCCAAGCUCGUCAAGUAAUUCGUCAAUGGUCGGGAUCGGAAAACGAUCGCGAAUGGUGACGAAAUUCAGGGCGCGGUAAUCCACGCACAUGCGCCAGGAUGCAUCCUUCUUCUUGACCAGAAGGACGGGGGAGGAGUACGGGCUUGUGCUUGGGCGGAUAAGGCCCGCCGUGAGGAGCUCCGAGACCUGCCGCUCAAUCUCAGCCUUCUGAAAGUGAGGGUAGCGGUAGGGGCGGACGUUCACCGGGGCAGUGGAUGGAAAGAGGUUGAUACGGUGGGUCACUUGGCGGGGAGGGGGAAGGAGGGAAGGUGGGUCGAAGAGAGGCUGGAAUUUGGACAGUAAAGCUUCAAUGGCAGGGAUGGGGGAUGACGGGGUCGAAGGCGGGUCGGGUGGGUUUGCGGGUAAAAGGCAGAGGUGAUAGAGAGCUGAGGUGGAGCCGGUUUGAAGUAAGCGUUUGAAUUGAGGGGCAGAAAUGGUCUCAGGCCCAAUAGCAGCGUCAGCAUGAAGUGUGGUGGGGAGGCCCAGAUGAGUGAAGUGCAUAAUAAAGGAGGUGUAAUCAGUAGUGACGGGCCCAAGUUGCUUGAGCCACUCAAUACCUAAAACCGCGUCUGCGCCGCUAAUGGGAAGAAGAUGAAAGGUGACGGUGAAAGGGUGGUCUUGGAGGGUGAGAGGGACGUCGGGGCAGAGCUGGGUGCAGUCCAAAACAGAGCCGUUGCCGACCAAGACAUGUAAAGGGGUAGUGGUUUGGGUGGGAAGAUGAAGGAAAUGGGCAAGGCGAGGCUGGAGGAAAUUGUGGGUACUCCCACUAUCGAUAAGAAUGGUGAGACGGUGGUGGUGUAUGGUUCCAAAAAGGCGAAAGGUGUCGUGGGAAGGAAGGCCUGAGAGGGCAUGAAGGCUAAUGUGGGAAG